rnacentral:rRNA from 1 species
CGGGGUGCAGCAGGCGCGAAAACUUUACAUUGCUCGAAAGUGUGAUAAGGGAAUCCUAAGUGCUCAUACACUGUAUGGGCUUUUGCCAAGGGUAAAUACCUUGGAGAAUAAGUGGUGGGUAAGAUUGGUACCAGCAGCCGCGGUAACCCCAGCUCCACAAGUGUGAACCAUAUUUAUUUGGCCUAAAGCGUCCGUAGUUGGUUUGGUAAAUUUUUUCUGAAAUCGUAAAGUUCAACUUUUCGGCAUUCAGAGGUCACUGCAAGACUUGAUACCCGUAGGUGUAAGGAGUAUUCAUAGGGAUCCGGUAAAAUGGGAUAAUCAUAGGAAGAGUACUUGCGGGGAAGGCGCCUUACCAGAACGGGUUUGACAAUGAGGGAUGAAGGUUAGGGGAGCUAACAGGAUUAGAUACCCGAGUAGUCCUAGCAGUAAACGUUCCCUGUUAGGUGUUCCCCCAUCUUCUAGAUUGUGCAAAAUCCAACCUAAGCCGUUGACAUUCGGGCCUGGGAAGUACCGUCGCAAGACUGAAACUUAAAG